CGUCAGAAUACAUACCCAUGUUAUGACUUUGCAAAGAACUAGGUUAGAUGUUGUUCGUAUAACUUUGUCCCACGAUAGGAAUACGAAUGAAUAGUUACAAUCUGAAAAAGGGAACAAUAUGACUUUUCACGGAUAUUAUCAUAGGAACAGAGAGGAUGACGAGUAUUGAGGUAUUGCGCAUUUUCCAUUUUCCGUCAUUUCCUGCUCUAUACAGCAAAUUGCGAUUGAAUAAUGGACAUCGAGCAUCUAAUAAUUGCUGAAUAAAACCUGUAUUUUUCGCACAAUUACUGUACCUAUUAUACCGUGCUCGUAUCACGUAUGCAGUUUCAGAGGUAGAAAAGAAAAGUAAAAAUCGAUUCUACUAUUCAAAUGACUAUCAGUAAUCGAAUACUAAAAACAUGCAGUAAAAUUCUCUUAAUAAGGAUUUAUUCGUAUCGCCAAAGUGAAGUUCACAAUAGAUUAAAUGUUCAUAAUAUAUAAAUAUGAUAUAUAUAUAUAUAUACAUAUUAAUAAAAAAAGAAAAGGAGUAAAAAAUGUCGUAAUUGUAAUGCUUUUGUUAACAUAGUUCAAACGUUUGCAUACAAACUGAUAUUUGUUAGAAACAGAGCAUCGGUCGUGCAAUGAAUAAACAUUUCGCGGCGUGAUCGUUAUUGUCGAAUGAUCACGUGAAUUAUAAACAAUCGUACAGUGAAAGCAGGCUAGAUCAGUUUGGCCAAUGUUAAAAAUUUCUUUACUGUUAUAGAUGAAACGUACUGGUAGAAAAAUGAUAACCCAGUGAUCGGAUUACGUUGUACGGGAAGUAAUUUGGUAUUUUUGACAGAGAAUCAACACACCGAAAGUUAGCAUUUGGCUUAUAGAGCAUAUAUGUACCUCUAGCUACAUUUUCACUUUAUCUACAAUCAAUCGUUUCAAGCAACGGAUCAAUGCAUCCAACUAUUGUUAGCUUCGCAGACUGCGCGUUCGUUUUGAAAGUAUGUAAACACCAUAUUCUCCAAGACUAUUCGAUCAGUUCGAUUGCUUAUUAGAGUAGAAGUGAUUAAUGCGAGGAACAAUUUGUUUAAAUUAACUAUAUUGAUCAAUAAUUUCUUACUAUAUAUAGAUGUUAUUAAGUGGUUUAAUAAAGCGUACGUUAUUAACGUUAUAAAAGAAGUGUUAUGAAGGUCUCUAUCGCAAAGCGUUCUCGUUGCCUUGGUUUCUUUUUUAGCAAGACCACAAAAGAAAUUAUUUAAAAAAGAAUAAUAAAUCAUGUCAAAGAUUAUGAACAUUUCAAAUUAUGAAAUCAUCAGAAAAAUUUCACAACGGUUUAUAAAAUCUUUGGACGACAUUUGUAAAUAAAAGGUAAGCAAGUAAUAAAGCUUUUAUUGUCGAAAUGAAGCUGGUCAGUGUAACCGGGUUAAAAAUUCCUGUGAGUUCUUGUCAUCGUGUUUGAGAGCGGCUCGUCACGCGAACGAUGUCGGCUCGCCACUGUAUACCAAACUCUUAUGUAAGGCUCGUCAUGCGAAUACAUUUGUUUAUUUGGGUUAUUGCUUAGUUGUUUGUAGGGGCCGAUGUUUUUAGGAAAGCAACACGAGAUCCAUGCGCAACGAUACACACGAUUGUGCGCGUUAGCGCGGAAAUUGAAUUACCUUUGUGCGACUGCAGCGAUGAAAGCGAGGCCGGAUUGUACCAUCUUGCAAACGGUCUUCCAAUUAAACGUAGCUACGAAGUACAAUUUACACGUCAAAGGAUCUCGAUGUACAGUAAAGAAAGGAUAUUCGCUUUCAAUCACAAAUACGUUGAUCGAGAUUAAUUUGGAGGGAUUAGUUCGUUAACUAACGGAGCGACGAGAUGAUGGGAGUUUAAGAGUCCCAUUAGGAUGUUCUCUGAAAACUUGUUUGCAAUUUAAAUCAUACUGUUCAAUAUUUCACCAAGAGCAGUGGUUCUUAAAAUUACCGGAUUAACCUUGAACCCAAAAUCGUCCGCAAUAUCCCGGCUGAUCCUCGAAGAAUACAAGCCGCAAACAAGAGAACGAAAGGUAUUAGGAGAAGAAAAGGAGUGUUCGAAAACAAGGUUAAAGACAAGCACGGUAAAAAAGGGGGAUAGAGAAAUGGAAUGAAAGAAGAAACGUAAGAAGAGAUGAAAAAUAAGUGAAAAAAAUGAGGAGUAAGAAGAGGGCUCUGCUCGUGUCUGAGGGCGACCCUCGGUGAAAAUGCAAUUUCGGUUCUUGUCUGGAGACGACGUAGCUACCAUGGCUCAUCUUCCUGGCGUCCGUACCUCCUUCAACAUUGUUGAAGGCACAGCCUCUCGUGCACACAGAAGUUCUUCUCUCUGGCAUGUUCCAGGAGAUGAAAGGCUCCCGUGGCUAUCAAAGGGAAAGGGAAGAGAGGUAAAGGCCCCACCCGACAAUGGCCCUGAGCUCCAAGGUUUUCAAGCUCGACGUCCAGGCCUCGGAGGACCAGUCGUGUGAUUUCAACCGGCCUGUCAACUUAUUCCCAUUUCAUCCGAUUUGGAUAAAUAUCACGAUUGUUUCGAUUUUCCAAUCAUCUAGAAUUUUCUCAAACAAAUUUGAAAAUACCAGAAAAUUCAAGUUUCCGCAUAUUAUAAAGCUAAUCGUUUAGAGUCUAGCAGAUUCCACGGGGAAUUUUCUAUGUGUCUAGGAAAUGGAGGAAAAACGUCAGCGUAUUACUCACAGAGAGAAGCGUUUCCUCUUUUAACCGAUUACGAAACGAAGAAAGAAGGCGGUUCUAAAUUUACAUUGGUUCAUUUUGCAUCCUCGUCGACGAGGUGAACGCGCUCUUCGACCAGCGACAUCUCGCCAGAGAGCCAUCUUCGGCGACGAGAGAACUGGAACAAGGUGUACGAUGAAUUUUCUACGAGAUGUUUGAGAGCACUGCCAAUGAUUCAGCGUUUCUGACCGAUUGCCACGAGAGUGAGAGGAAGAGUAUCGAUAAUGCACGUGCCUCAUUUUACAUUGUUGCAUAUCUUGAUGGAGAACAUUCAAAGUUUCAUACUGCCUUCUUGGAAAUCAGUAAGAUUAGUUGGUAAUAUUCUUAAAAAUAAAGUAAAGGAUUAGGAAGAAGUUUAUGGAACCCAGUCACAUACUCGAUAGCGUAGCUGUAGGCGCGAACCAGACAUAAUAAGGCAUUUGUAUGUUCAUCGUGAUUUUGAUAUUCGAGGUCCCGUCUUUUUAGCCAUGCUUUUAAAUCAAGGAUCGAGAAUAGCAAGAAGAAGGAAGCUUUAAACGAGCAACGUAAAAACAUUACGCUCGAAUCAGCGAGACAUCGUAAUUCAAUUAAAAAUGAAACAGAAAACAGUCGAUAACAGAGUACGUUAACAGAUUAAAAAGGUAGAGAGAAAUGUAGUCCUUUUUUUGAAAAUGCAUGCGCUUAAAUGAAUCCAUCAAUUCUCUCUAGAAAUACGAUGAAAGCACGUGUACAGUAUACAGUGUACUACGUAUACGUCACGGCAGUAGAAAGAGAUGGAAAAAGAAAGAAAAAGAGAGACAGAGAGAUACAAAUCCAGUCGAUGGAAAUGUUACUGUAAAUCUGCGUCAAGAUCAGAGCUGACGUCAUUCUCUGACGCACCAUCAUCUGACAUACUCUGCAUUGUUCAGCGAACGUUCGAAAAUGUAUAUUUUCUAUUGCCAAUACUGUUAUCGUUUUUCAAACGUCAAUAUUCGUCAGAUUCUAAUUAUCACAUCACCAAUUAUUCAGUUUACAACCUACAAAUAAAAAAAUCGAUUAUCGAGUCAAAGGAAAUGUUAAAGGUCAACGAAAAAUCUAAAGUCAGAUGAAACAUUUGUUUUACAAUUUCUCAAUUUCUUCACAUUUUUUAAUUACGUGUAAUUCUAACGUUAUGAAAUACUUGACAUAUAAAAAAAAUGUAUAUAAAAAAAAUUGAUAUAAUUUAAAAAAAAGAAGUUCAAUAUGGCAGUAACUUUCGCAGUGACUUUCUUUAAUAUAAAAUUAAUUUCGGUAAUAUAAAAUUUCAAAUUAUCAAAAUAUCAAAUUAUGAUUCAUAAAAUAUAUAGGAAAGGUGAAAGGUGAUUAUAAAUUAUUGUAUUUAAAUUAUGUUUGACGUCCAAAGAAAUUAAUUUAUUUAAUAAUUAUUAACUAUAAUUAAAAUUGCAACCAUAUAUUAAUUAGUGCUAAAAGAUAAUAAAAUCCAAUUAAACUGAAUAAGAGUGUAUAGGAAUUUGAUUAUCAAUCAUGUAAUAGAUGUUACAGGAAAAUGGUAGUUUCGAUACGUGCUGCCAUCUUCGCAAUUGGUUGAUGCUUCUGGUAAGGCAGAGAACUGUACGUCAUAGUGAGCAAUAACUUAGAUUCUACAUGAGAAUGAAUAGAACAUCUCGUGUUUGCGGACUCUGUAACAGGUGUUCUUAUUUCUGGAGGGGAGUUCAGACUGCUGGUUGCACAUCAGUGAUUUCUAUCUUCGACACCAGACAUUGUCUUUUCGUUGCCAAAAUUGUACCCAGGAAACUGAAAUAUCGAGGUAAAGUAGGCAGGUGUGCUUCCUGCAGACGUACAAGUACAUACAUAAUAAGAAGAUAAUAUUCAAGCAUAGAGAAGGAGCCGCGAGCGUAAGAGUGUGAGUGAUCACGUCCUGUACUUUCCUAAGCACCUGCGGAGCCAGAACAGAUCCGGCAGGUGCAAAAAGGAUACGGGAAACCCCGAAGAACUUUAUGCAAUCCUCGUUGAACGGGAAAAGCAUUAAAAAAAGAAAGCGGUAUGGCUCAAAGCGCGGAGGUUUAAAUGUUUAAAGCGAGCCUUCUGGUAUAGAGCGCGGCGAUUUUCCUGCCGUUUCCCGGGUAACUUUUGCGUCAGCCUUUAUCGCCGGAAAAAAACUCGUUAGCUUGGCGCGGCCUAGCUGGCCUGCUUCCAGAACAAACCGCCAGAGGUCCGGCGUUACGUGCGAACCGAGGCCGUGCCGAUGAAUUUGGUGACGUAAGAGAAUAAAACCACCAUAAAGGCUUGCUGGUUCAUUAGCGCAAACCGCGGAGCAUGGCAUCCUUGUAGAGAGAGCGAGGUUAUAAUCCAUAGUCUGAUCUCGGUGUAUCCACAGAGUAAAUUACUUUUCGAAAAGCGUUUGGUUUUUGAAUUAUCGACAUGUAGUCCUCCGGUUGUUCAGUGCUGCAGCGAAACGCAGCAAUAAGGAGAGAUAAUAUACAUACUUGACUUCCACUCGAAGAGGUCGGGUAGAUAAGAGAAGAGUGAACCUGCGAAAUUGACUUUCGUAAUUACCGACCGAGAAUGCGCCAGUAUCCAAGAAGUCAUCUCGAAAAUCCAAUUAGUGGAGAACUGCUUAACGGAGCACCAGUCACUUAAAUCGUACUUUACCAAUUUCCUUUCUUAUUAGAGGAUCAAAUGGCAAAUGAAUGAAAUAAGCGUAGUGUGUGCAGUAUAAACACAAAAUUCAGCAAUUAUAUACAUCUUGCCUUGUGCAUGUUGCAAUUUGCAAAGAAUGAGGUACUGCUUCUGCCUGCAAUUAUAUUUCUGGUAAAGAAAAUACGAGUUUAAAAGAUCUUAAAUACUUCUAUAUUGUACUACAAGAAUUAAGCCAAAUUAACUUCUAAAAAAGUCUUGAACAUCAAGUCUCAAUUUCCAAUCUCAACUGAAUAGAAAUUACCACGAAAAAGUAUUCUAUAAGCUGUGGCAAGCAGUACAAUUUUCGGCCUCGAAAGAAAGUGCGCCACUGUUAUGCAAUUAAGAUUUUAAUAGAACCUUCAUGUCCGUGAAUCUCCGUGUGCGUUUCCUUUGUUGCGCUUAACUCUGUUUGCUCAACCCCCUUUUCACGGUGAACUCUUUCAGUGGCCUCACCGAACACCGCAUCCCUCAAGGGGUUAAUUUCAUUUCGACUGUCUGGGCAACAUACGAGCCGAAGGUGUGCAUCACGAAAGAACCUGCCACUGCACCAGCAUGUAUUGUCGUCGUCAACGUCGAAAGAGUUCAGUGUCAAACGUCAGCGAUUUGUUUUCAUGAUGCACGAACGCUAUGGUUGCACAACAACGAUUUAUCGCUGACGAAUGUUAUUGGCGACUCGUGAUCAGCGUGUACGCAAUAUCUUCACGGACGAGCCAUCGUAAUGCCGAGCGAGCCGAUUUUAAAAAUCAAUUCAUCUCCACGCGCCUGCGGGUAACGGUCGAUGUCCAGCUUUUAAUACGUCGUUAAGAUUGAGUGCUCGGAUUGCAAUUGAACUGUCGCGUUUUGAACGCCGACAAACUAGAAAAGUAUCGAGAAAAAUCUAUACAUAGAAUGUUUAGUAGUUCUUUGCGCUAAUUAUUUGAAUCCUCCUUAAUAAUUAAUGGCGUGUUGCUUGAAAUAAGUAGAAAGUUAGUGAAUAUUAAAGUAGUCCUUGGAAUGUGCAUUUUUUGGCCAUUAAGCAAUGUUUAAUGACCAAAAUUUUGUUUGAUUGUGGAGAAACGAGCGUAGUGAUUGCUUAAAAAUUUAAUAGUUUAAUAAUAACAAACUAACAUUUAAACAAUACACCUCAAAGUUGAGGUCCUCUGAAGAGUUAAAUUAAUACCGUAUACAAUAUUCACGCACAAAAAAAUAGUUUACUUUUGAAGUGACAAUCUAAAUACCGGGAGAUAUAAUAAUUUAAAAUACAAAGCUUAAAUUAUGGACUAUUAAAAAUAGUCUGCAAUGAUAGCGAACUUGUCGAUAAGACAAUUAUUUUUCUUGAAAGAACUCAAAAAUAUACGUACUCACGAAUAUUAAUUAUCGCUAAAAUUGGUUAAAGUCAUCCACUAGUAGCGGUAAAUUAUUUCUGUGGCUAAAACGGAUAUUAUUAAAGAUUUUUGGAAUAUACGCUGCGGAAUAGUAACUGGCCAAUCGAGAACGCGUUAUCUUAUCAUCAGCCAACAGCCCAACUUCUCCAUCCAAAUGCGUGCUCUAGUAUACAAGAGAUAACAUUUCGCCUCGUGGCCAAUGAGAUUCUAUUUGAGAUCCUGCUCGCUCGGUGUGGAGAAAUCAGAAUCCGGAAUACGAGACAUGCAACUCGAUCUUGCGCUCAUCUCGAUUUCAGUCUCCCUUCCGAUCAAACACCGCUUCUUAGCAAUCUUGUAAUCUCGCCGAACAAGUCCUCUAGACUCGUUGAUCUAGACAUCGUAUACGCCGCGUUUGGCUCUAUAUUUUUACAUUACGUAUGAUUAAUUAUUAAUCGAUAACUUGUAAUUCUAGUUAAGACUCUCUUGAGACUUGGUAUCACGUUACGUUCAUCUAUAAAUCGCAUUACGUUCGCAAUACGUAUUUGAAUUUAAGAACGUUGGUAUUUACUAUUAUCACUGUUUUGGAUUAUAAAAACAUUUUCAAGUAGAUUAAACUAUGGAAAUCGUACUCUUUGUGAUAUUAUGUAUGCGUAACUUUUAUUUUGCAUAUUUAUGAGUAGUAGAAUUAAUAGAAAAUAUUGUAGUCAAUCGCAACUUUUGUUCUCACAAGCGAACAAAAAUUAAAGUAUAGAGAAUUUAUGCUUUCGAUUUGAAAUGACGAACAAAUGAAACGAAGGAAAGUGUUUGUAUUCAUCGCUGCAUUACAGAAGAUUUGUAAAAUCUCACAUCGUAACUAUGUAAAUGAAGAAGAAGCGAUAGCUUGCUUUAAAGAUUUUAAAAAAUCUUUGCAAAUAUUGAACUUCGUUCAAAAAUUUCUCUUCGUUCAAAACUAUCGCGAUGAAAUCAAAUUUUUGAAGAAAGAAAAUACAUACCGAGGUCUCGAUGCCGCUAUCGUGGCACACUGUUUGCCAUGAAUUAUGCUGAGAUUUCAUAAGUGCUUCUGACCUUUACUGCGAAGAAUUUUCUUGGAACGAUGACGACGAUGAUAUCGCAGGCGAGAGUUAAUAAUCGAUGUUCUACGUUCGAAAAAUGUUUAACAGAAUUAAGUAACGAUUACGUGGACAUUCAAGCGAAGGAUAAAUCUCACGAUUAGAUAAUAAUAGUAAUAGUUGCGGUUUAAACAGUCAUGAUUACAGUGCUGUACUAUACUUUAAACGCUGUUUUAUUCCUUGUAUUAUUUUCUUUCUUCGUAUAAUUUUUUAAUUCAAAUUCUACUUGUUAAAUUAUUUCUAUUAACAACUAAAAGGUAUUUAAUUUUUAAUUCCUGGGAUUUAGAGAGAGAAUGUCAUUUUUUGCUAUUUUUAAAAAAUGUUACGAGUACUUUUAAGUUGUUUUAUCUUUUUCUUUGCUUUUUUAGCGCGCUAUUGAAUUCUUGCCUAUUCAUGAAGGGAUUCCCGGAGUUUCAUCUCGUGAAAAUGCAUGGAGUCCGACAAUUAACAUCGCAUCCAUUCACGUAAGCUCGGUGGCAUUACGGAAAGGAAAAAAAUAAGCGUUCAUUCAUGAAAACUCUUAUCUGCGUAUACAUAGCCAUAGAUUACCAACCCCGUUUCAUUCACACGUUCGCGGAACAGGUUGAAUUUAUCGCUGACAUCUUUCCGUUGAAAAAAGGACCAUAUCAAUUUUACAAACCCCACUAUUUUAUAUUUCAUCUUCUUCCAAUUUUUGUCCAAGAUACCAAGGACUCCAAUUUUAUUACCACGAAUUGCUGUGAAUUAACAAAAAUCAACGCAUUCGCUUCAAUCUCUCUAAAAUAACAAGAAGAAAACCAUAGGAACUGAACUGAAGAAAACUACCAUGUUACAACACCUUUAAUUGACUAAAAAAUGACGGCAGUAAGGAAACCAUAAAAACCAAACAGAAGGUGUUCGGGCGAAGCGGUGGCUGCUUCUUUCGAGGAUAAAUGAGAAGUUUGAUAUUGCAGAGGAUGAAAAAUUGUUAGUAGAGUCCGCAAGACUGAUACGAUAACGAAGCGAGCUAUCUAAAGCAAGAUCGUAUCGCUGGCUGAUAAACGAAUUCUGCGAGGAAAACAAGUGUAGAUUCAACAAGAUAUCGUUGGUACUGCGUUAUGACAGUUUCAGGCGAUGUGCGUGUUCGUUUUAAAGUACAUGUAUAAUUAAGGUAUAGCGAUGAAGGCAUAUAACAGGAUCCCAUGCAAUUUAUUAUCCAUAUAAUUACAGGAUUCUUAAUGUAUUAAGUCAAGAAAACGAGAAGGGUUCGUUUUAUGCAGAUGAACAACGAAGAUAGCAACCGGAAAUACCAGCUAUAAUUUGGGAAUGCACAAUUGUCCCGUAACGCUCUGAAGGUUCACGGAAAUAGGGGCGAGUAACCCUGAAUAUCUCGUGAAGUUCUCGGCUCGAAGCACCCAAGGAGAACUGGUUUCAACUCAUCAUAGUCACCUAGCUGUUCACGAUACGGCAUUCCAAAAUAAAAAACAGAAUAAUCAAAUGUCCCUGAAAACAGCAAAACACUGCCGAAUUCAAUAAUAUUGCUUGAAGCUGUUUCAAAGCCUAGAGGUAUUUCGAAAAUUCUUCAGUGAAGAAUUGACCGCGAGGAGAGUUAUAUUGACUCGUACAUAUAAAAGACCUACUUUCAUCACCCUUCUUGAAGUUACUCACGCGAAACAUUCUUGUUAGUAGAUAAUCCUAUAAUAAAUGCAGCCUACGGAAACUUCAAGACACUUCAAAUUCUUCUUGCGAAAGAAAUUGCAGCAACGUCCAACGGUGGUAUAAAAAUAUGGCAAACGUUUGCGAACGUUUAUCCACUUACGAUAUUCCAAACGACUACAUGAGAAGUUAAAUAUUUCUUGAAAAUCAAAAUGCUUCGUGGCAUCAGAAGUUGAAGAAAAAGUGACUCCAGUACUUGAAGAAAAAAGAAAAAUAAUUCAAAGUCGGAUAAUUCCAAGAUUAAAAUAUCCCUCUAGUUGAACCAUGGCUACGACAAUCCUGGACUCUAAUCUGACUGCAAGAUUUCAACGAAGGGACAACUUUGUGUCCAAGAGUUUCCCUUGACGAGACUCCCUCGUUAUUAUCCGCCGCUGCGAGCCUCUACUCUAACUAAAGAGAGACUUUAGAGUGCAAGGCAGAGCUAUAGGUAGAGAGAGCAGCAGUACCAGCAGCUCGAACCGCUCACAGCUAAAUAUAUCUCUCUCUCUAGAGUUACUCAAGGUCACAGCGCUUGGAUUGGCCCACGAUAAAGCGCAGCUCCGUACCCGUCCCUCGGCUGCCCGGCCUUAUGCUUCGUUCGCACACAUUCUGCCGUGCCGUGGCCCACAUGUCACUUCGCGACAAUGUCGUAUACCAGCCGCAUCGGGUACACGUGUUCGAUCGAACGCAGCAAUAGUCACUCCGCAUGCGAGUCGUAUUUUCAGCCGCGAUACGUUCCUAUAUAGUCACGUCUACACCUUUCGAUCUUUUUCCCCAUUGUUCUGUUUCAUUAGUCACAAUCGCAAUUUCGCAUUAAUCGCGAUCAAAAUUCUGUGUUCUCGUUUCACUCACGCUCUGUCGUUUCUUGGAACGUUUUUCUCUUUAAAUCUCACGGAACACUUUCGAUCCCUUUCAAUCAUCGAUUUUUUAAAUCUUUGCUACUUUUGCAUUUUGGUUUUAAAGUAGAGUAUUUUAUGGAAGUUGAUUCUUUUUAUGAAUAAAGUUGCCUAUUUUCUUUAAGUUACACAUUAUAAUUAGGUAUUUCUGAGAAAUAUAAAUUACAGUAAAAAUAAUCUGUGUAAUAAAAAGAAAGAUAUUUCGGAGGUAGUAUCAUUUUAGCCCGUUCAGGGAAUAUACGAUAUAUUGCAUACGUGAUGUUAUUAUUAUUCUAUGAAGCACGUAUACUGACUUCCGGGUAAACCAUAGACACGGAAAGAGAGUGUGACCUGUUGCUGACGACAAAUAAUUGGCGAGUUACAGGUCGCUCUUUAGAAACACCAACAGAAAGGCGUAGAAUCUAUGGGGCGUAUGUUCCGUAAUAAUGUAUACGCAAUGUAGGAUCUUACAAACAAUGGCGUAGGCUUCAAUGCAGCUUAAGUCCAUUAUAAAAUUAUUUACAUUCUAUUAACAUCAUUCGUUUGCGAGAUUUCUAUUAAUCCUGCUACGUUCUUUAAGUUUUAUAAAAAAAUCAUUGAUUAAUAUCCGUGAUUUUUUAUUUUAACGUUAUAUUACAGUUUUUCUUAAAACAUCAAAUAUUUUUUCAUUCAUUUAAACGAUAACGAAAUUGCUACGUAAAGAUUUAAAAAACGUAACAAGUUAACAAAUAAUACAAAAAGAUUUCAAUGACACAAAUGACAAAUACUCGAGUAUGAAAACACAAAGAGAAAACGUAUCGUGAGAUAGACAAUUCGUAAUGCUUUCAAAAACUAUCCAUUCGAUUUGGACAGGGAUGUUCCGAGGUUCGACGGUGCUGAUAACAGAACCAAGCUACACUCAUUCUAUAGCUGAAUUUGAGGUUAGGUGAUUGUCCGGGUGUGCGGUAAGCAUCGAUAACGACGAUAACGGCGCGCUGCAACCUCGCGGCUGUAGCAACACGAUCUGGCAACCCUGGAGCGGCCAGCAGUGCCGGGGUUGAAUUUCAAGCGCCCGAGGGACAGAGGGGGUCGGGUCUCUCUCUUUUGUAUAGGGGGCACGAGGGCUUCACCGAUGCUCGGCACAUAACGGUGAGUCGACGGCCAUGAUGCGGGGCUUAUGGCCGGCUGCCUGGUUCUGUUGUCUGUUAAAACGUGCUUCAAAAGAAAACCAACCUUUCUCUUCGGCUUCCUCCUCGGCCCGCCCCCUCUUUCCCCGAAAAAUUACAUACAACUCGCUCUAGGCCUACGGGGUUGAGUCCCAAUAAUCGCUCGUUUCUCACCACCCGAAUAUUCCCCCGCGUAUUAAUUACCAGAUUCCGUUUUCCCCAUGGCCAUUUAAAAUACGUAAACGGCAAAUUCGCGCACAUGCGAGCAAAGAUUGAAAUCGCUAAACGAUAGAGUUUUAAUUUAGGGAGACAUUUUCCGGUUUUUAAAUUUUAAAUACCUUUUGAGUAGUGAAAGCAUAAAGGAAUGAGUGUCUUAAUAUUUUCAGUUCGAUCUUUUUGUAUGAAAUAUUAGUUUUUAGCUUUUAAUUCUUACUGUUGGAUAAUUUAUGGCAAACAUUUUUCUAAAUAUAUACUUGGUAAGCUGAGA